AGAUGAAGACAAAAGGGUGGGAUUAACUUCCCUUGGAAACAGGCAGUGUCAGAGUGACUGACAAGCUGAGAUACAACCCAUCAGCAUCCAAUGAUAGCCAUUGCAUGAAUCUUCCCAGUCAAAGGACCCAUUUUCAUGAUAGACAGUGCCUGUGGCUGGAGGCUCUACAUACAGGGUGUGCCUAUACAGGCCAAAGACUGCCAAUAUUAGCAAAGGCGAGGUGUGUGACACACACACACCCCAAAAAAUUUACAGACUUCGUGUGAAUGAGAGUUUGUGGGUGGGAUUAUCGUUUACGGCAACCCUGUUGCUCCCACAAGGGAGCACCCAGGGGUCAGAACACUCAUCCCCCAACAUCAAUUUCUGGACAUGGCCUAGGAGGUAGGAGGGGAACCACUGCAUAGCAGGGCCUCCAGCUCCCUUAGAGAGUCCAGAAGGAUACCAUGGUCAAAGGUCUCCAAAGCCGCUGAGAGAUCCAGCAGAACCAGGAAACAGCACAGCUAGGGCAAUUUCAGUUCCAUGGUGAGGCCUGAAUCCCAA